rnacentral:rRNA from 1 species
UACGUAGGGGGCAAGCGUUGUCCGGAAUCAUUGGGCGGAAAGAGCGUGUAGGCGGCUUGGUAAGUCCGCUGUGAAAGUCCAGGGCUCAACCCUGGAAUGCCGGUGGAAUCUGUCAAGCUUGAGUCCGGAAGAGGCGAGUGGAAUUCCUGGUGUAGCGGUGAAAUGCGCAGAUAUCAGGAGGAACACCAAUGGCGAAGGCAGCUCGCUGGGACGGUACUGACGCUGAGACGCGAAAGCGUGGGGAGCAAACAGG